GUACAAGGCCCCGGGAACGUAUUCACCGCGACAUUCUGAUUCGCGAUUACUAGCGAUUCCAGCUUCAUGUAGUCGAGUUGCAGACUACAAUCCGAACUGAGACGUUAUUUUUGGGAUUUGCUCGACCUCGCGGUUUCUGCCUCCCUUUGUUUACGCCAUUGUAGCACGUGUGUAGCCCUGCUCAUAAGGGGCAUGAUGAUUUGACGUCAUCCCCACCUUCCUCCAGGUUAUCCCUGGCAGUCUCUUAGAGUGCCCGGCCGAACCGCUGGCUACUAAAGAUAGGGGUUGCGCUCGUUGCGGGACUUAACCCAACAUCUCACGACACGAGCUGACGACAACCAUGCACCACCUGUCAUCCCUGUCCCGAAGGAAAGGCCACAUUAC
rnacentral:rRNA from 1 species